UACGAAGGGGGCUAGCGUUGCUCGGAAUCACUGGGCGUAAAGGGCGUGUAGGCGGUCAAGUAAGUGGAAUGUGAAAGCCCCCGGCUUACCCGGGGAUCUGCAUCCCAAACUGCUUGGCUUGAGUACGGGAGAGGAUAGGGGAAUUCCUGGUGUAGCGGUGAAAUGCGUAGAUAUCAGGAGGAACACCGGUGGCGAAGGCGCCUAUCUGGCCCGAUACUGACGCUGAGGCGCGAAAGCUAGGGGAGCAAACGGG
rnacentral:rRNA from 1 species